GAGAAGUUUAUUUUCCAAGUGGGCGUGUCCGGAAGCAAAUAGCUGGUGCCAUUGUGUGAGUAGCUGCCUGUAGUUAGAGCUGUGUAGCAUAGACCCAGACCACUGUUAGAAGCUGUUCAAAGCUCAGAAGGCCAGUGAUGACUUUUGUCUCUAUAUUCUCCUUGUCACUGUCACUGGUCUUCGCUGUCUUGAGCCCAAUUCAAUUUCCGGCUCUUUCGUUUCAGCAAUCUCUCUGCAAAUGGACCAGAAGUACACCCUGGUCCACAGCCACAGUAAUAAUGGCUGUAUCCCACUGCUGCUAACAUUUAGAAAUGCUUAAAAACUCGCUAUUACGUGGCAAAUAACGAAUACAAGUACGACUGAUUUGGACAAUGCUUAGAAUGUAUUGAGGAGGACAUCUGUUGGAUGUAAUACACAAAAUGUGGCUUAUUGUGUGCUCACAUCUCUCCAACUAGUACUAUUUUGUGGUUUUUUAUACAGCAUUUUCAACGAUGCAUUUCUCGACUCUCAAUGGAUCGACACGAAAAAUAAUUACAUAUAAAUGUUCAUCAAUCCUAUAAGAUAGCACUGAACAUGUUCAAAUUCAUCUCAUACUUUUGCAACAAUUUGUCAGUUCAGUUUGCUGUGGCAUGUAAAUUUAUCUAAAUUUG